rnacentral:rRNA from 1 species
UACGUAGGGAGCAAGCGUUGUCCGGAUUUACUGGGCGUAAAGGGCGCGUAGGUGGUUUGUUAAGUUAUAGGUGAAAGUUCGGGGCUCAACCCCGUGAUUGCCUGUGAUACUGGCAGACUUGAGUGCAGGAGAGGGUAGCAGAAUUCCCAGUGUAGCGGUGAAAUGCGUAGAUAUUGGGAGGAAUACCAGUGGCGAAGGCGGCUAUCUGGACUGUAACUGACACUGAGGCGCGAAAGCGUGGGGAG